rnacentral:rRNA from 1 species
ACAUCCAGAGACUUAGCAGAGAUGCUUUGGUGCCUUCGGGAACUCUGAGACAGGUGCUGCAUGGCUGUCGUCAGCUCGUGUUGUGAAAUGUUGGGUUAAGUCCCGCAACGAGCGCAACCCUUAUCCUUUGUUGCCAGCGGUUCGGCCGGGAACUCAAAGGAGACUGCCGGUGAUAAACCGGAGGAAGGUGGGGAUGACGUCAAGUCAUCAUGGCCCUUACGGCCAGGGCUACACACGUGCUACAAUGGCGCAUACAAAGAGAAGCGACCUCGCGAGAGCAAGCGGACCUCAUAAAGUGCGUCGUAGUCCGGAUUGGAGUCUGCAACUCGACUCCAUGAAGUCGGAAUCGCUAGUAAUCGUAGAUCAGAAUGCUACGGUGAAUACGUUCCCGGGCCUUGUACACACCGCCCGUCACACCAUGGGAGUGGGUUGCAAAAGAAGUAGGUAGCUUAACCUUCGGGAGGGCGCUUACCACUUUGUGAUUCAUGACUGGGGUGAAGUCGUAACAAGGUAAGCGUAGCGAG